GAUGAAGAACGUAGCGAAAUGCGAUAAGUAGUGUGAAUUGCAGAAUUCAGUGAAUCAUCGAAUCUUUGAACGCACAUUGCGCCCCUUGGUAUUCCAUGGGGCAUGCCUGUUCGAGCGUCAUUUGUACCUUCAAGCUCUGCUUGGUGUUGGGUGUUUGUCCCCUAUUUUGGUGGACUCGCCUUAAAAUAAUUGGCAGCCAGUGUUUUGGUAUAGAAGCGCAGCACAAGUCGCGAUUCUGACCCAGUACACUUGCGUCCACAAGCCUUUUUUUACCUUUUGACCUCGGAUCAGGUAGGGAUACCCGCUGAACUUAAGCAUAUCAAUAAGCGGAGGA
rnacentral:misc_RNA from 1 species